rnacentral:rRNA from 1 species
CACAUGCAAGUCGAACGGUCACUUCGGUGAUAGUGGCGGACGGGUGAGUAACGCGUGAGAAUCUGUCUUCAGGUCGGGGACAACAGUUAGAAAUGACUGCUAAUACCGGAUGUGCCUAUGGGUGAAAGAUUUAUUGCCUGAAAAAGAGCUCGCGUCAGAUUAGCUAGUAGGUGGUGUAAGAGACUACCUAGGCGACGAUCUGUAGCUGGUCUGAGAGGACGAUCAGCCACACUGGAACUGAGACACGGUCCAGACUCCUACGGGAGGCAGCAGUGGGGAAUUUUCCGCAAUGGGCGAAAGCCUGACGGAGCAAUACCGCGUGAGGGACGAAGGCUUUUGGGUCGUAAACCUCUUUUCUCAAGGAAGAUAAUGACGGUACUUGAGGAAUAAGCAUCGGCUAACUCUGUGCCAGCAGCCGCGGUAAUACAGAGGAUGCAAGCGUUAUCCGGAAUGAUUGGGCGUAAAGCGUCCGCAGGUGGUUUUGUAAGUCUGCUGUUAAAGCGUGUGGCUCAACCACAUAAGGGCAGUGGAAACUAUGAGACUAGAGUAUGUUAGGGGUAGAGGGAAUUCCCAGUGUAGCGGUGAAAUGCGUAGAGAUUGGGAAGAACACCGGUGGCGAAAGCGCUCUGCUAGGACAAUACUGACACUGAGGGACGAAAGCUAGGGGAGCGAAUGGGAUUAGAUACCCCAGUAGUCCUAGCCGUAAACGAUGGAUACUAGGCGUUGCCCGUAUCGACCCGGGCAUUGUCGUAGCUAACGCGUUAA